rnacentral:rRNA from 1 species
AUUGAACGCUGGCGGCAGGCCUAACACAUGCAAGUCGAGCGGAUGAAGGGAGCUUGCUCCUGGAUUCAGCGGCGGACGGGUGAGUAAUGCCUAGGAAUCUGCCUGGUAGUGGGGGAUAACGUCCGGAAACGGGCGCUAAUACCGCAUACGUCCUGAGGGAGAAAGUGGGGGAUCUUCGGACCUCACGCUAUCAGAUGAGCCUAGGUGGGAUUAGCUAGUUGGUGGGGUAAAGGCCUACCAAGGCGACGAUCCGUAACUGGUCUGAGAGGAUGAUCAGUCACACUGGAACUGAGACACGGUCAAGACUACUACGGGAGGCAGCAGUGGGGAAUAUUGGACAAUGGGCGAAAGCCUGAUCCAGCCAUGCCGCGUGUGUGAAGAAGGUGUUCGGAUUGUAAAGCACUUUAAGUUGGGAGGAAGGGCAGUAAGUUAAUACCUUGCUGUUUUGACGUUACCAACAGAAUAAGCACCGGCUAACUUCGUG